GACUGUCCUCCUAUUUAGUUAUUUAUGAUCAAAUUUGUCCAUUUCUCUCCAGAUGAUAUAAGCUUAAGCCCUCUAGAAAGAUAAAGAUAAAAUUCUUGUCUGAUUAUUUGAUUGAUUGAACUUUAGCUUAGAGCUGGAGCCUUGGGAUCUCUGGGCAUCCAGUUGCCUAUGUACUGAUAAGAAAAGGUCAUAGAAGAUUUAGUAGGACAUUUUUUUUAGUAGCUAGUGUCACACCUUCACACACUGCCAUACCCCAAAGAAGCGAAGCCUGCGUCAGUCUCACAGCACACACUGCAAAAAGUGACACUCUAUUGCUGGGCAGGCAAUGGGAAGAAUCUUCGUUUACAUUUGUCGUCCUGGGGAGUUCUUCCUCCCCAGCAAAGCUGACUUCUGCUCCAGGAUGGAGAAUGCAAAGUGUGGACAUGAAUGGCCUCAAAGGCAGCUGUGUGGUCUUCAAUCAAAUUUUUACUGGGAAUAAAAAUCCUUUCCUUUUUGAUUAUCCAUCUUAUCUUUUUUUUUGUUUAAAGCUACCGGCCCAAAGGUAGGGAUAUUAUAUUUUUCUGCUGUGUAUGAAUUUAGAAAAUGUCACCCAUCGUUACCUAAGUAGAAAUGUGAGCUCUGCACAAGAGAUAUAAAAACUGGAAUCCCAACUCUGAUUUUGCUACACUCUCUGACUUCGACUAAAUCACUAAACUUGUCAGGAUCUCUGUUUUCCUAUACUUCUUCAUUCAUUCGUUUAUUCUUUCAUUCACUCAGAUAUGCAUUGGUUAAAUGUUUACUAUAUGCUAGGCCUUUCUAGGUUUGUAAAUAUGCCCCAGGCAAAAUGUCUAUAUUCAAGAAUUUAAUAGAUUAUGAAAAAAAGUAGUAUUAAUCAACCAAUAAAAAUAUACAAAAUAACGCAGUGAGCUCUCUAAUAAGGAUUUGAUAGGGAACAAUGCUAUUGCCCAAGAAAGGAAAUGUGAUCCUUGUCAAGAUGUGAUGCCCAACUGAUAUUUAAAGGAUGAGACUUCCAUAAGCAAGAUACAGACAACAAACAGAGGGAGAUUUUAUACACACGCACAACACACACACAAGUAUAUGAGAUGAGGUUGAAAUGAUGAAGUCGUGAGGUAAGUUUUACGCAUUGUAAGGAGUUUGAACUUGUCUUAAAUAUAGUUUUAAAAAUCCCUUUUUAUUUUCAGGAAAAGGAGUGGCAUGAAAGAAUUAAUUGGUUUUAGAAAAAGCUCUCGAAAAAUGAGGGAGUUUAGAUAAAAGUAAAGCUGUAAAUUUCCAGAAUGUAAAGAUUUCUGAUCAAUAAAAUUCAC
rnacentral:lncRNA from 1 species